AAACUUCUUUUAUAUACCAAGAAACCUUCGGACGUGUCCGAAGCUGACGGUAGUAUAUGAAUAAGCACCGGCUAACUCCGUGCCAGCAGCCGCGGUAAUACGGAGGGUGCAAGCGUUAUCCGGAUUUAUUGGGUUUAAAGGGUCCGUAGGCGGAUCAUUAAGUCAGUGGUGAAAGCCGACAGCUCAACUGUCGAACUGCCAUUGAUACUGGUGAUCUUGAGUACGGUUGAAGUAGGCGGAAUAUGACAUGUAGCGGUGAAAUGCUUAGAUAUGUCAUAGAACACCGAUUGCGAAGGCAGCCUACUAAGCCGUUACUGACGCUGAGGGACGAAAGUGUGGGGAGCGAACAGGAUUAGAUACCCUGGUAGUCCACACCGUAAACGAUGAUUACUCGGUAUUGGCUUUUU
rnacentral:rRNA from 1 species